GUCUCCAGCAUGGAUUGCCGUCGACGGUGAGGUCGACCACUAGAUCGUGCAAUAGUUGCGCAACUCCGAUCAUCCAUUCGCAGUCGAGCUCGAAACGGCACCGGCGGCUCGCAAUUCGCAGAAAUCACGAGGAGCCGAGACACAUCUCGGCUUUGAAGCCCCGGCGGCCCACCGGAUGAAUCCUUGGCCGCUUAAGCCGCCAGCCCGAGAGGCUGGAGACGGCGCAACGCUUGUGCUCCCCGGAGACGUCAAGGCUGCUGGGUUCAUCUUGCGACCGCUGCCGAGAAAACGCGCAACCC
rnacentral:lncRNA from 1 species